rnacentral:misc_RNA from 1 species
AAAGACCAUUCUAACAAGGAGAGAAGAAAAGUCAAGAGCGGGAACCAUGGGGCAUUGGGUUGCAAAUUGCAAAUGGAUUAGAUGGUACUGGUCCCGCACGUCUGUUUUGAUUAAGAUUGAAAUGGAGUGGAGUAGGUCCGUCAAGGGCAGAAGACAGCCUUAUAAUUAGUAUCACCAGGGCAAGUAAAAAUGCUGGUCUGGUCAUCUAAGGGAUAACUAUAAGCAUCUCGGCAUCUAUCCUUGAA